GACGAACGCUGGCGGCGUGCUUAACACAUGCCAGUCGAACGGAAAGGCCCUGCUUUUGUGGGGUGCUCGAGUGGCGAACGGGUGAGUAACACGUGAGUAACCUGCCCUUGACUUUGGGAUAACUUCAGGAAACUGGGGCUAAUACCGGAUAGGAGCUCCUGCUGCUUGGUGGGGGUUGGAAAGUUUCGGCGGUUGGGGAUGGACUCGCGGCUUAUCAGCUUGUUGGUGGGGUAGUGGCUUAACAAGGCUUUGACGGGUAGCCGGCCUGAGAGGGUGAACGGCCACAUUGGGACUGAGAUACGGCCCAGACUCCAACGGGAGGCAGCAGAGGGGAAUAUUGCACAAUGGGCGGAAGCCUGAUGCAGCAACGCCGCGUGCGGGAUGACGGCCUUCGGGUUGUAAACCGCUUUCGCCUGUGACGAAGCGUGAGUGACGGUAAUGGGUAAAGAAGCACCGGCUAACUACGUG
rnacentral:rRNA from 1 species